rnacentral:rRNA from 1 species
UACGAAGGUGGCGAAUGUUGCUCGGAUUCACUGGGCGUAAAGCGUCGGUAGGUGGCUUGUUAAGUUAGGUGUGAAAGCCCCGCGCUCAACGUGGGAAUUGCACUUAAAACUAACUGGCUUGAAGGUAUGAGAGGAAGGCGGAAUAACUGGUGUAGAGGUAAAAUUCAUAGAUAUCAGUUGGAACGCCCAUGGCGAAGGCAGCUUUCUGGCAUAUUCUUGACUCUGAGCGACGACAGCGUGGGGAGCAAACAGG